rnacentral:lncRNA from 1 species
GGCAGUUCCACCAGAUCACCUCCUCGCCCACGCCCCAGCGUCUUUACAGGGCUCUGUGGGCCCGACGGCAGGAGGAGGCGGAGGUCCAAGGCCACAGUGGGGUGGGCCUCGAGCAGGAAGCAGAGUCCCCACUCCAGGGAGACCAAGUCGUGGCACUGAAAGUCCCUCCUGUGCCGUGGAGCCCCAUGAGACCCCCUGGGACAACCAAGACUGUUGGCCACCCCAUCUGGCUGUUCCCACUUCCGGAGUGAUUUGAUCUCAGUUUCCUGGCCGAGAGAAAAGCAGACACACCAGGAGACAGGACACAAUCCAAACCCCAGGGACCCAUUUCAAAGCCGGCGUCAAGCCCUUCAGCCUCCUUUUUGGCUGCUUGUUGGGGAAGAAAGUGCGUCCAGAAGGAAAUUCACCAACUAUUAAAAGCGAGUCCCUUUAGGGACAGAGCCUGGGAGGAAGGGCUGGAGCUGGCCUCAGGGGCUGCAGACAUUCAAAUCAUCGCUGGAUCUCUCCUCUCCUCUCCUCUCCUCCCCUCUCCUCUCCUUCUCCUCCUUUCCCUCCUCCUCUCUCUCUCUCUCCUUCCCUCCCCUCCCCUCUCCACUCUGCACACCGCCCUCAGUUUUUCCUACAGCACCAGACUUCUUCCAUUCAGUAGGGGGAGCAGCAGCUGCAGGGGCAGGAAGAGAGGGGCCUUGGCCACAGACAGCUCUAAGCUUUCCUUGUCCCAGUCCAGGGACUGAAAAGGAGCUUUUGUCAUCUCAGCCUGGCGUCUGUCUGUAAAAUCCCCGAGAAGGACUCUGAUUGGCCCUGCUUGAGUCACAUGUCCUCUUGCCAGACCAAUCACCACAGCCAGGAGAAUGGCGUCUGGGGAUUGCCAGGCUGGCUGGGGUUGCGGCAGUGAAACAGCUGGUACCCCAGAACCAAGCACGGAAGGGGAUGGUCCGCGAAAGAUCUCGGGAGCACGGUCUUCCUCCUGUCUCUCAUGCAAUCUCAGCCCCGAACUCCUUGACGCCCCUGGCCAAACCUGAUGAGAAUAUCAGAGAACCUUGUCCAAGGGGCAGUGGGGAUGCAGGGGUCCCAUGCUGUGCCCAAAGCCGGAAGUCUACGUGUUGGACUGGACAGAGCUACUGAAACAUGCUAAGGCCCUCCCACCGAACUUGGAACAAAGUCCGCACCCCCCACCGUGACCUGCAAGGCCUGCUGGGCCCAGCCCCCAUGGGGCCUUCUCCUGCGCUGUCGCCAGGGACCGCCUGCUCGCAUGGCUCAGGUCCCUGCUCAGAUGCUACCUUCCCUGACCACCCUGUUAAGGGGACCCCCUGACCCCACACCAGCCUCUCUAUGUUUAUAUAGACUUGUCCCUGUCUGAAAAUCUCCUGGUUUACUUAUUUACUGGACUGGAAGCUUCCUGAGGCUGAAACUAGGCCAGUCUUGUCUCUGCUGGGUCCCAGAGCCCAGCCCAAGGCCCAGCACAGAGACAAGACUCAUGAAUGUUUGUUGGUUGAAUGAAUGAACGGCCGUUCUAAGUCAUCCUGCCUUAGGCCUCAACAGAUGGCAGACGGGAGGAGUCUGCCUGGUGCCACCUGGUGAGUGAAUGAGUGGAUGUUGUCAUCUUACAUAAAGGAUGCGGAAAUCAGCUUCCUCCUCCCUUCCUACCCAGUUAUCCAGUUGCCCUUCAAAACCCUCAGUCUGACCCUCCGUCCACAGAACCCGGGGCAGCCGGUCCUCCUCGAGCAGCAAAGGCCCUUCGCAUGGCCAGUACAGCUAAAUAAACUGUCUGUGGAAUAAUUGAUAAUUACUGCACUUGAGUUCCCAUUCAAGUUCAAUGUUUGUGACUAAAAGCUAUGUCCAAGCCCUUCAGAGGGGACACCUCCGUUCUCAGAGCAUCUGCAUUUCUAACCAGGCUCCUCCUCGAGCACGGAGCCCUCACUGCAGGAGCACAGAGUGAAAAGCCGCGGGCCCCUCUGCUUUCAAUUCUAACAGCCACCGGAAGUGGGAUCCUGGGCACCCAGCACCUUGAAUUACCAAGACUGGGGUCAGACCUUCCUCCGAGCUGGCGCAAGAGAAGCUGGAGAGGAAGGGGAGAGAGGAGGAGCAGGAGGAAACACGCUGGGCCGGCUGCGGGCGCAGCAGGAGCCAUCCUCGAUCACCAGGCCGAAGGAGCACCGGCUCCCGAGGGAGGCUCCCGGGGUGCGGUGGAGGCGCUCGGCUUCUCUCUUCAACAAGACCUGGAGAAUGUUAAUUGUUACUGUAGGUGUGUGGCGUGCAGACUAUUUGUAAGUGAGAGAAGAGUUCUGUUGCUGUGACUAAAGAGAGCGCAAUGGGUGUGGAAGACUGGAACCCGUGAGUUCCUCAAGCUGAGGCUCGGUUAAACCAUCAAUGCUUUCCUGCCAAUUGGCGCUUGCAGCUCGAGCCUUCACGCCUUUGCACACAGUCGAGGUAAUAACCACCGUGCUGCGAAAAGGCAGCCGGCUGGCAGGGGCCGCUCGCUGCACAGAGCGUUCUUUGGUUCAAAAAAGAAAAAAAAUCAUAAAAUUAAAAAAAACUGUUUAAGCUUAAAAACUAAAAGGAAGCAGUUGGCUCCAGUUGUCGAAAUGUUUUAUAAAGCAACAGCAAGAUGAAAAAAAAUUAAGAAUAAAAAAUAAACUGUCCCAGAAUGCUGAGAGAGGGCCAAAAAUAUUAAUAUGCGGGAACAUGGCAAAGCUUCUGCAAGCUGUAAAUAUUCCCUUCGGUUCCCAUGUAUGAUCGGCAAGGAUGGUGGUCCUUUUCUCCCUCGGCUCUUCCUGUUUGAAAUCUACGACAAAUAACAUUUCUUCAAAAAAUAAAAUAAGUAUUAGGGGAAGAAAGUGUGUGUGUCAGAGGUCCCUGAAUUUCUUAUUUUAAAUAUUAUAGGGAGGGGCCUGCCCG